GAGGGCAUAGCUCAGUGGUAGAGCGUGUGCUGGGCGUGCAUGUGAUCCUGGGUUCAAUCCCCAGUGCCUUUG
rnacentral:tRNA from 1 species